UGUUUGAUACAUACAAGCCUUCUGGUAGGAGAACACGAGAUACAUUAUGUAUAUUAAUAAGCAGGCUCUAAAAUAAAUAAAUAGACUUCUGAUUCAAAAGUUUAGUCCAACAGAAGUGAGGAUGAAGGACACUAUGGAGAUGAGGAGGUUAUGAUGAGAUGCUGCUGGGCUGUGGGGAGUCACUCAGGAGAGAGAUUUUGGAGACAGUGUUAUUCUGUAUCACAAGCUGGCAUUGAAUUCAAUAUAUAUCUUAUGCUGAUCUCAAACUAAGCCUUUUAACACAGCCUACAAAGUCUUUGGGUUACAGGCUGUUCAGAGCCAUCCAGUUUGUGACAGCAUUCUCAGCAUCCUAGAAGGAAAUACCUGACUUCUUUACGCUCCAUCAAUGC